CCACAACCUAUUAUGUAACCAAUUGUAUAAAAACCUUAUUUUCUAAUUUUGUAUAUAAUUAUACACAAUCUAAUUUUCUCUCUCCUAUUCACAAUUAAUUUUCUCUCUCCUUUCCUCAUUCUAACGUCUUCUCCUACAUUUAAUACUCCAAUAUCAGAUUUGAAUUUCGAAUUUUUGUCCAAAAUUUCAGUAAUCCCUCCUGAAGUUGAAGUCCCCUCCCUAAGUUGAAGUCAAUUUCAUCUAAAAUUCGUCAAACAAUGAACGAAUCGUCUACAUCUUUGAGGAUUACCAGAGGGUCUUUGGGAAAAUCAAAACAACUUAUACAAGAACAAACCAUGGAAGAGCUGAGAUCAAAGAAAAAAAACGACCCUAUGGCAGUUCAACAAGUUAUUAAAAAUGCCAAAGCUAGAGGCAUUAAAAUUGUACAAGGUACAAGAAAGAGGAAAGUUGUACUAUUUGAAUCAGAGGAAAAUGAUUGUGAAGUCGGAUCUGAAGAACUUCAUAAUCAUGAGGUAGUGUCUUAAAACACAAACUUAGAUACAAUUUUUUUGUUAAUUAGUUGUCAAUAUACAAAAACCAUUAA